rnacentral:rRNA from 1 species
AGAGCGAACGCUGGCGGCAGGCUUAACACAUGCAAGUCGAGCGGGCGUAGCAAUACGUCAGCGGCAGACGGGUGAGUAACGCGUGGGAACAUACCUUUUGGUUCGGAACAACACAGGGAAACUUGUGCUAAUACCGGAUAAGCCCUUACGGGGAAAGAUUUAUCGCCGAAAGAUUGGCCCGCGUCUGAUUAGCUAGUUGGUGAGGUAACGGCUCACCAAGGCGACGAUCAGUAGCUGGUCUGAGAGGAUGAUCAGCCACAUUGGGACUGAGACACGGCCCAAACUCCUACGGGAGGCAGCAGUGGGAAUAUUGGACAAUGGGCGCAAGCCUGAUCCAGCCAUGCCGCGUGAGUGAUGAAGGUCUUAGGAUUGUAAAAUUCUUUCAGCGGGGACGAUAAUGACGGUACCCGACAGAAGAACGCCCCGGAUAACGUUCGCGCCAGCAGCCGC